GGGGCGGCCGCAUGUGCGGGGCGGGCGGGGGGGGACUGAGAGAGGCGGGCGGCGCAGCCCUAGCCGUCCGCAUGGUGCAGCCGGUGACGGGCAGAGAGACGGUGAGCGACGCUCCCCACCCCGCGGAAUGCCCGCGGUCCGCCCCGCGCCCGUGCAGAGGUGGCCUGCGGCGGGUUGCGCGGAGCGCUGCGCUAGAUAUUCCCGCGGGCCCCGUCUGACCUGCCGGUGGGGACGGGAGAGGAGGAGCUCCCGACUCUCCGCUCCGCAGAAGCCUCUUCUCCCGCGGAGGAGCGGCAGGUUGGCACUAGAUUGCUGAACUGAAAGAGCCUUGCAAGAAUCUGAAAAAUGCCAUUCCAAGCAUGUGCAUAAGCAUCAGUGGUGUUCAGCUUUACAGCCACUGCAGCACCUCCUUGGGAUCCUGGGCAGACACAGCAAAGGGCAUGGUGAUUCCUCCAGUAAUGCUGGGGCUUAGUGUCUGCAAGCCCCUUCACAGUGAUGUUCAGCUGAGGACUGGUCCAAGCUCUCUAAAGUGAUGCUGGAGGGUACAGAUCUGGCCCUGACUCGUUAACACUCGGCAAGAGAAAAGCACCUGCUGAUUCCUGCAGCUCAUCAGAAGCAGGUGUUGCAAUAUGUGGCUGAAGUGAAUGACCAAAAACACCUGAGGAGCCUGUGCCAGGAAAAAUAAUUGUGAUUCUGCUCUGUACUGCAGUGAAUUUCAGGUGCUACAGCUGCUGAAUUGCUCUUUUCACUGGUUCUCCAUGAGCAUCCCUCUCCUUCAAAUUCCUACCCAGUCUGACAAGAAAAAUGAAGAGAAUUUCUGGAUUGAGCUGGUGUCUACUGUUUGAAAUACUGAUCACGGUGCUCAGAGUCAUCAAAAAACAGCUUUUGAUCCCAGGGCUAAGAUAAAGACUAACUCAAACUGCAGAAGACAGCCACUCAAGACUGAUUAAUCCUCAGGUGUGUGCUGUGGUGGGCUACACUCCUCAAAGACUAAGUACUCACAGAGAGUGCUUGGCACAGGUGCUUGACAGAAGGAGAAGGCAACCAGGCUGCUGCAUAUCCAGGUACAGUACACCUGCUGAAGGGACCUCACAGCCUGUGUCACACAAGGCAGUUUCUAUCUGUUAGUGCUUAAAACCUCACCAUUAACAGAUCAGAGUUUAGCUCUUUCUAAUUCCAGCCAGGAGGUGCCACAUUUCAACCAGAUUGGUGCCUCUUGGCAAAGACAUGGGUGGAAAGGCAUGACUGACAAGAGGUGUUGGCCUGUCCUGUUGCCCCAGUUCCUAUCUGCCACCAUCACUCGCUGGCUUUUGGGUGAAUGCUUGGCAAAUAAAGUGCACAUCGGG